rnacentral:rRNA from 1 species
ACUCCUACGGGAGGCAGCAGUGGGGAAUCUUAGACAAUGGGGGAAACCCUGAUCUAGCCAUGCCGCGUGGACGAUGAAGGCCUUAGGGUUGUAAAGUCCUUUCAGCUGGGAAGAUAAUGACGGUACCAGCAGAAGAAGCACCGGCUAACUCCGUGCCAGCAGCCGCGGUAAUACGGAGGGUGCGAGCGUUAUCCGGAUUUAUUGGGUUUAAAGGGUCCGUAGGCGGGUUAAUAAGUCAGUGGUGAAAUCCCAUCGCUUAACGAUGGAACUGCCAUUGAUACUGUUAGUCUUGAAUGAGGGUGCAGUGGUUGGAAUGUGUAGUGUAGCGGUGAAAUGCAUAGAUAUUACACAGAACACCGAUUGCGAAGGCAGAUCACUAACCCUAAAUUGACGCUGAGGGACGAAAGCGUGGGGAGCGAACAGGAUUAGAUACCCUGGUAGUGUA